rnacentral:rRNA from 1 species
UACGUAGGGUGCAAGCGUUGAUCGGAAUUACUGGGCGUAAAGCGUGCGCAGGCGGCUAUGUAAGACAGGUGUGAAAUCCCCGGGCCUAACCUGGGAACUGCAUUUGUGACUGCAUAGCUAGAGUCCGUCAGAGGGGGGUGGAAUUCCACGUGUAGCAGUGAAAUGCGUAGAGAUGUGGAGGAACACCGAUGGCGAAGGCAGCACCCUGGGAUGAGACUGACGCUCAUGUACGAAAGCGUGGGGAGCAAACAGG